rnacentral:rRNA from 1 species
CACGUAGGGUCCGAGCGUUGUCCGGAAUUACUGGGCGUAAAGCGCGCGCAGGCGGUCGGGUUCGUCGCUGGUGAAAGCCCCACGCUCAACGUGGGAAGGGCCGGCGAGACAGCCCGACUGGAGGCAGGGAGAGGUCGGUGGAAUCCGGGUGUAGUGGUGAAAUGGCGUAGAGAUCCGGCAGGAACACCAGAGGCGAAGGCGGCCGACUGGACCUGACCUGACGCUGAGGCGCGAAGGCGUGGGAGCGAACGGG